GACAGAGGUGGCUAGCGUUGUUCGGAUUUAUUGGGCGUAAAGCGCACGCAGGCGGGUUGGUAAGUCAGAGGUGAAAGGUCACAGCUCAACUGUGACAUUGCCUUUGAUACUGCCUUUCUUGAGUGCAUGAGGGGGAAGCGGAAUUCCGGGUGUAGAGGUGAAAUUCGUAGAUAUCCGGAGGAACACCGGUGGCGAAGGCGGCUUCCUGGCAUGUAACUGACGCUCAGGUGCGAAAGCGUGGGGAGCAAACAGGAUUAGAUACCCUGGUAGUCCACGCCCUAAACGAUGGGCACUAGGUGUGGGAGGUAUCGACCCCUUCCGUGCCGCAGCUAACGCAUUAAGUGCCCCGCCUGGGGAGUACGGCCGCAAGGUUGAAACUUAAAUGAAUUGACGG
rnacentral:rRNA from 1 species